rnacentral:antisense_RNA from 1 species
CUUCACCGAUCCCAGCCACAGCGGCCGGCCGGCCGGGCGAUCCCGGCCGUAGGUGGCCUGCAAGGCCUGUGCCUC